AUUGAACGCUGGCGGCGUGCCUAACACAUGCAAGUCGAGCGGUAACAGGUGUAGCAAUACAUGCUGACGAGCGGCGGACGGGUGAGUAACGCUUGGGAAUCUGCCUAUUAGUGGGGGACAACCCGGGGAAACUCGGGCUAAUACCGCAUACGCUCUACGGAGGAAAGCCGGGGACCGCAAGGCCUGGCGCUAAUAGAUGAGCCCAAGUCGGAUUAGCUAGUUGGUAGGGUAANGGCCUACCAAGGCGACGAUCCGUAACUGGUCUGAGAGGACGACCAGUCACACCGGAACUGAGACACGGUCCGGACUCCUACGGGAGGCAGCAGUGGGGAAUAUUGGACAAUGGGCGAAAGCCUGAUCCAGCGACGCCGCGUGGGUGAAGAAGGCCUGCGGGUUGU
rnacentral:rRNA from 1 species